rnacentral:rRNA from 1 species
GAUCCUGGCUCAGGAUGAACGCUAGCUACAGGCUUAACACAUGCAAGUCGAGGGGCAGCAUUUCAGUUUGCUUGCAAGCUGGAGAUGGCGACCGGCGCACGGGUGAGUAACACGUAUCCAACCUGCCGAUAACUCGGGGGAUAGCCUUUCGAAAAGAAAGAUUAAUACCCGAUGGUAUAAUUAGACCGCAUGGUCUUGUUAUUAAAGAAUUUCGGUUAUCGAUGGGGAUGCGUUCCAUUAGG